UCGAACAAUGCACGCAAUAGAACUUGUAAUUAUAAUUAGGUAUCGUAUCACGAUAAAAAAUGUUUUAUUAUCGUGGAACGGCAAAACAACCUAACCGUGCAGACGUAUCUAAUAAUCGACGAUAAUAGACGCGCGGCGGUCAAAUCAAACAGUAAAUAUUAAUGUAUGCGAGAAAGUUUAUUUGCACGGAGAAAUAUACGCGACGAUUCGAUGAUUUGUACUUGGUUUGAUGUGUCUAUAUUAUACUGCGGAUAUAAAGGUAUUAUAAUAUAUAUUUACGAUCGGAUGGAAGCGAAAACCUCCGGUGCAGACGCGGAUUUCUAUUUCUCCGGCCGAGAGGCGCAACACGUAUUAUAUACCUACAUGCAUGAUUAAGGUAUAUGCGGAGUCCGCGGGCCAUACAACCGAAAGUGCGCGUGUGUUUUAUAUAUACUUGUAUAUAUGUUUUUUAUACAUAUACAAUAUCACAUGUGCACACAGGUACUUACGCCGCCGCCGCCAUUGGCGAGCCCGUCGGCCCGGAGUCAAACCGCAUUCCGCCGAGCUGAGCCCGGACGCGCGUGUAAGACGAACAUUUUUUAUUUUUUUUUUUCCAAACUUCUCGACACGACUUCAGCGGUGGCGGUGCUGCAGAUAUUCCGCUGGGGACGACGACGUUUCCACCGAACUAUCUGCAGUCGGAAUAUUCGUUUUCGACGAUUAUUUCGUAUUCAAACGAGUAACUCCUAUAGGAGUCUAUAGAGGACAUACAUAAUGAAGAGUUUAACGGAAAAUUCACCAAAAAUUAAAAACAAAUACAAUGUUUACUACAAGUUAUACAAAAUUACAGAAAAACGUAUCCAGAAUGCUCGAAAAAAUCCACGAAGAUUCAAUUUCCAUAACUUAAAUGUAUCUUUUAUAUAUAUUGUAUAUAUUUAUGUAAGAC